GGCCUGGUGGCCUAAUGGUAAGGCGUCAGAUUUCGGUUUGAGGACACCAAGUUCACCUCGUGGGUAACCACUUGGACUUGCUCCCUGAAGAGCAAUUCUCUGAAAAUUGCGGGUUCGAUCCCCGUCUGGGUCG